UCUCACAAGAGACUGAUAUAUCAGGGUC
rnacentral:piRNA from 1 species